UGACAGUAGUGCCCAAAAUCUUGUUGA
rnacentral:piRNA from 1 species